rnacentral:pre_miRNA from 1 species
CCCGGAGUCAUACAAGUGCAUCAAUGGAACUGUUUCUUCUGGUUUGGAAGGAAUAUUGAUGUUUUUUA